CCCCUCUUAGGGUCACACCUGGAGGGUUUCCAGUACUCUACCAGUCUCGACUAUGGGAGGGAGAGCCAAGCCAGAGGCCAACCCAUUCCAUUCCUAGCUUGGCUCAGUGGCUAGCGAGGGGAAGGCCAUCUGCUACAAGU
rnacentral:snoRNA from 1 species